rnacentral:rRNA from 1 species
GAGUUGAUCAUGGCUCAGGACAACGCUGGCGGCGUGCUUCAUACAUGCAAGUCGAACGAGAAUCUCCAGCUUGGCUGGGAAGAGGAAAAGUGGCGGACGGGUGAGUAAUGUGUAGAGAAUCUGCCCUUAAGCGGGGGACAACAGAGGGAAACUUCUGCUAAUACCCCAUAUGCGCGUAGUUGAGAUACUAUUCGUGAAAGAUUUAUCGCUUAAGGAUGAGUCUGCAUCUGAUUAGCUAGUUGGGGGUGUAAUGGACCACCAAGGCGACGAUCAGUAGCUGGUUUGAGAGGAUGAUCAGCCACAAUGGGACUGAGACACGGCCCAUACUCCUACGGGAGGCAGCAGUAGGGAAUUUUGCGCAAUGGGCGAAAGCCUGACGCAGCAACGCCGCGUGAUCGAGACGCUUUUCGGAGUGUAAAGAUCUGUCAGUAGGGACGAAAAAUGACUGUACCUACAGAGGAAGCACCGGCUAACUCCGUGCCAGCCGCCGC